rnacentral:sRNA from 1 species
AUAGUACAUAGCUGAUGCCAUGCUCCUGGCCAGUGCUGGAGUAGUCUGGUCUCAUCUCCCCACCUUGUCUUGUGUUUUUGUUUUCCAGCCAUUAAUGGGUUUCUGUUCUCUAACCUGCCCAGGCUGGACAUGUGCAAGGGUGACACAGUGGCCUGGCACCUGCUCGGCCUGGGCACAGAGACUGAUGUGCAUGGAGUCAUGUUCCAGGGCAACACUGUGCAGCUUCAGGGCAUGAGGAAGGGUGCAGCUAUGCUCUUUCCUCAUACCUUUGUCAUGGCCAUCAUGCAGCCUGACAACCUUGGGACAUUUGAGAUUUAUUGCCAGGCAGGCAGCCAUCGAGAAGCAGGGAUGAGGGCAAUCUAUAAUGUCUCCCAGUGUCCUGGCCACCAAGCCACCCCUCGCCAACGCUACCAAGCUGCAAGAAUCUACUAUAUCAUGGCAGAAGAAGUAGAGUGGGACUAUUGCCCUGACCGGAGCUGGGAACGGGAAUGGCACAACCAGUCUGAGAAGGACAGUUACGGUUACAUUUUCCUGAGCAACAAGGAUGGGCUCCUGGGUUCCAGAUACAAGAAAGCUGUAUUCAGGGAAUACACUGAUGGUACAUUCAGGAUCCCUCGGCCAAGGACUGGACCAGAAGAACACUUGGGAAUCUUGGGUCCACUUAUCAAAGGUGAAGUUGGUGAUAUCCUGACUGUGGUAUUCAAGAAUAAUGCCAGCCGCCCCUACUCUGUGCAUGCUCAUGGAGUGCUAGAAUCUACUACUGGCUGGCCACUGGCUGCUGAGCCUGGUGAGUGGGGACACU